rnacentral:rRNA from 1 species
UACGUAGGGUGCGAGCGUUAAUCGGAAUUAUUGGGCGUAAAGAGCUCGUAGGCGGUUUGUCGCGUCGGAUGUGAAAAUCCAGGGCUCAACCCUGGACCUGCAUUCGAUACGGGCAGACUAGAGUUCGGUAGGGGAGACUGGAAUUCCUGGUGUAGCGGUGAAAUGCGCAGAUAUCAGGAGGAACACCGGUGGCGAAGGCGGGUCUCUGGGCCGAAACUGACGCUGAGGAGCGAAAGCGUGGGGAGCAAACAGG